rnacentral:rRNA from 1 species
GUACUUACUCCUACGGGAGGCAGCAGUGGGGAAUUUUGCACAAUGGGCGCAAGCCUGAUGCAGCGACGCCGCGUGGGGGAUGAAGGCCUUCGGGUUGCAAACUCCUUUCGCUAGGGACGAAGCUUUUUUGUGACGGUAUCUAGAUAAGAAGCACCGGCUAACUACGUGCCAGCAGCCGCGGUAAUACGUAGGGUGCGAGCGUUGUCCGGAAUUACUGGGCGUAAAGGGCUCGUAGGUGGUUUGUCGCGUCGUCUGUGAAAUUCUGGGGCUUAACUCCGGGCGUGCAGGCGAUACGGGCAUAACUUGAGUGCUGUAGGGGUAACUGGAAUUCCUGGUGUAGCGGUGAAAUGCGCAGAUAUCAGGAGGAACACCGAUGGCGAAGGCAGGUUACUGGGCAGUUACUGACGCUGAGGAGCGAAAGCAUGGGUAGCGAACAGGAUUAGAAACCCCUGUAGUCCAGGCAU